AUGAACGAUGCUCACAAGGCUGAUGCAAGGGAAUACGGACUUGGUGGUCUCCGUACGUUCCAAAUCAUGAAUGUGGCAGAGAAACAAAACGGUGGCUAUCCUCAUGUUGGGUAUAUUUCCCGAGACCUCUACAAUUUCUUCGCCAGGUACAAGAAAAAAAGAAUCUUAGGCAGGGAUGCUGACUUUGUGCUGAACCAUAUGAGAGUACAGGAAGAACGAGAUGUUGAGUUUUUCUUCAAAUACACCACAGAUGAUGAAGGACAUCUUCGAAAUUUAUUCUGGGCAGAUUCACAGUCUCAGAUUGAUUAUGAAGCAUUCGGCGAUGUAGUUGUGUUUGACAACACUUAUCGGGUCAACCGCUACAAUCUCCCUUUUGUUUGCAUUUGUUGGACUGAACCAUCAUCGUAG
rnacentral:rRNA from 1 species